rnacentral:misc_RNA from 1 species
GUGGAUGUGGUGGCUGACUUUUAAAAAACCAGACAAUUGUCGUCACUGGCUGAUUGUGCAAAGUAAUGUUAUUGGGUUCUCCUGUAGUGCACUUCACUCUACCUUUCUCUUUGGAUUUCUGGGUUUCCAAAGUUGUCACAUUUGACAUCUUCCGGCGAGAUUGCUCUUCCAGAACCGGCGACGCUUAUUUUCCGUCCAGUUGAUUACUCCCAAGAAUUGGAAUUUAAUAUAUUUGAUUUGGGUACAUCUGGGCCGUUGAUGGUCAAAAGUAACAUGUGUCAACGGUCUUAAAGCAAUCAAUUAUUACACUUGAUU